rnacentral:rRNA from 1 species
UACGGGGGGGGCAAGCGUUGUUCGGAAUUACUGGGCGUAAAGGGCUCGUAGGCGGCCAACUAAGUCAGACGUGAAAUCCCUCGGCUUAACCGGGGAACUGCGUCUGAUACUGGAUGGCUUGAGUUUGGGAGAGGGAUGCGGAAUUCCUGGUGUAGCGGUGAAAUGCGCAGAUAUCAGGAGGAACACCGGUGGCGAAGGCGGAUCUCUGGGCCAUUACUGACGCUGAGGAGCGAAAGCGUGGGGAGCGAACAGG